rnacentral:rRNA from 1 species
AACCUCCGCAAUGUGAGAAAUCGCGACGGGGGGAUCCCAAGUGCCAUUCUUAACGGGAUGGCUUUUCAUUAGUGUAAAGAGCUUUUGGAAUAAGAGCUGGGCAAGACCGGUGCCAGCCGCCGCGGUAACACCGGCAGCUCUAGUGGUAGCAGUUUUUAUUGGGCCUAAAGCGUCCGUAGCCGGUUUAAUAAGUCUCUGGUGAAAUCCUGUAGCUUAACUGUGGGAAUUGCUGGAGAUACUAUUAGACUUGAGACCGGGAGAGGUUAGAGGUACUCCCAGGGUAGAGGUGAAAUUCUGUAAUCCUGGGAGGACCGCCUGUUGCGAAGGCGUCUAACUGGAACGGUUCUGACGGUGAGGGACGAAAGUUAGGGGCGCGAACCGGAUUAGAUACCCGGGUAGUCCUAACUGUAAACGAUGCGGACUUGGUGUUGGGGUGGCUUUGAGCUGCUUCAGUGCCGAAGGGAAGCUGUUAAGUCCGCCGCCUGGGAAGUACGGUCGCAAGACUGAAACUUAAAGGAAUU